rnacentral:rRNA from 1 species
UACGGAGGGUGCAAGCGUUAAUCGGAAUUACUGGGCGUAAAGCGUGCGUAGGCGGCCUCUUAAGUCGAACGUGAAAUCCCCGGGCUCAACCCGGGAACUGCGUCCGAUACUGGGAGGCUUGAAUCCGGGAGAGGGAUGUGGAAUUCCAGGUGUAGCGGUGAAAUGCGUAGAUAUCUGGAGGAACACCUAUUGCGAAGGCAGCUCGCUGGGACGUAACUGACGCUGAGACGCGAAAGCGUGGGGAGCAAACAGG